rnacentral:rRNA from 1 species
CCUACGGGGGGCAGCAGUGAGGAAUAUUGGUCAAUGGGCGCGAGCCUGAACCAGCCAAGUCGCGUGAGGGAAGACGGUCCUAUGGAUUGUAAACCUCUUUUGUCGGGGAGCAAAAGACGCCACGCGUGGCGUUCCGAGAGUACCCGAAGAAAAAGCAUCGGCUAACUCCGUGCCAGCAGCCGCGGUAAUACGGAGGAUGCGAGCGUUAUCCGGAUUUAUUGGGUUUAAAGGGUGCGCAGGCGGUCUGUUAAGUCAGCGGUCAAAGCCCGGGGCUCAACCCCGGCCCGCCGUUGAAACUGGCAGUC